GACGAACGCUGGCGGCGUGCUUAACACAUGCAAGUCGAACGGAAAGGCCCUAGCUUGGUGGGGUACACGAGUGGCGAACGGGUGAGUAACACGUGGGUGACCUGCCCUGCACUUCGGGAUAACCUCAGGAAACUGGGGCUAAUACCGGAUAGGAGCGCCUCGUGCGGGGGGGGGGGUGGGUAUUUUCGGUGGGGGGGGGUGGACCCGCGUCUUAUCAGCUUGUUGGUGGGGUGGUGGCCUACCAAGGCGUCGACGGGUAGCCGGCCUGAGAGGGUGGGCGGCCACAUUGGGACUGAGACACGGCCCAGACUCCUACGGGAGGCAGCAGUGGGGAAUAUUGCACAAUGGGCGGAAGCCUGAUGCAGCGACGCCGCGUGCGGGAUGACGGCCUUCGGGUUGUAAACUGCUUUCGCCUGUGACGAAGGGUUUGUGACGGUAGUUGGAGAAGAAGCACCGGCUAACUACGUG
rnacentral:rRNA from 1 species